AACUUUCAACAACGGAUCACUUGUCUCUCGCAUCGAUGAAGAACGCAGCGAAAUGCGAUAAGUAAUGUGAAUUGCAGAUUUUCAGUGAAUCAUCGAAUCUUUGAACGCACCUUGCACCCUUUGGCAUUCCGAAGGGUAUGCUCGUUUGAGUGUCAUUGUACUCUCACACUCCCGAUGCUUUUGGAUUGGGAGUGGUGGACUUGGGUGUUGCUGCUUUACUGUGGCUCACCUCAAAUGGAGUAGUGCAACUCUUGGUUGGACAUAGUACGGCGUGAUAAGUGUCUUCGCCGGCGCCUCAUUAGAGGGUGGCCGAUCGGGAGCUCUGUGCUUCAAACCGUCUUCGGACAACAUCUGACAACUUGACCUCAAAUCGAGUAGGACUACCCGCUGAACUUAAGCAUAUCAAUAAGCGGAGGCU
rnacentral:misc_RNA from 1 species